rnacentral:rRNA from 1 species
GGCAGGGCGGCAGCUACACAUGCAGUCGAGCGGUAGCACAGAGAGCUUGCUCUCGGGUGACGAGCGGCGGACGGGUGAGUAAUGUCUGGGAAACUGCCUGAUGGAGGGGGAUAACUACUGGAAACGGUAGCUAAUACCGCAUAACGUCGCAAGACCAAAGUGGGGGACCUUCGGGCCUCAUGCCAUCAGAUGUGCCCAGAUGGGAUUAGCUGGUAGGUGGGGUAACGGCUCACCUAGGCGACGAUCCCUAGCUGGUCUGAGAGGAUGACCAGCCACACUGGAACUGAGACACGGUCCAGACUCCUACGGGAGGCAGCAGUGGGGAAUAUUGCACAAUGGGCGCAAGCCUGAUGCAGCCAUGCCGCGUGUGUGAAGAAGGCCUUCGGGUUGUAAAGCACUUUCAGCGGGGAGGAAGGCGGUGAGGUUAAUAACCUCAUCGAUUGACGUUACCCGCAGAAGAAGCACCGGCUAACUCCGUGCCAGCAGCCGCGGUAAUACGGAGGGUGCAAGCGUUAAUCGGAAUUACUGGGCGUAAAGCGCACGCAGGCGGUCUGUCAAGUCGGAUGUGAAAUCCCCGGGCUCAACCUGGGAACUGCAUUCGAAACUGGCAGGCUAGAGUCUUGUAGAGGGGGGUAGAAUUCCAGGUGUAGCGGUGAAAUGCGUAGAGAUCUGGAGGAAUACCGGUGGCGAAGGCGGCCCCCUGGACAAAGACUGACGCUCAGGUGCGAAAGCGUGGGGAGCAAACAGGAUUAGAUACCCUGGUAGUCCACGCUGUAAACGAUGUCGAUUUGGAGGUUGUGCCCUUGAGGCGUGGCUUCCGGAGCUAACGCGUUAAAUCGACCGCCUGGGGAGUACGGCCGCAAGGUUAAAACUCAAAUGAAUUGACGGGGGCCCGCACAAGCGGUGGAGCAUGUGGUUUAAUUCGAUGCAACGCGAAGAACCUUACCUGGUCUUGACAUCCACAGAACUUAGCAGAGAUGCUUUGGUGCCUUCGGGAACUGUGAGACAGGUGCUGCAUGGCUGUCGUCAGCUCGUGUUGUGAAAUGUUGGGUUAAGUCCCGCAACGAGCGCAACCCUUAUCCUUUGUUGCCAGCGGUUAGGCCGGGAACUCAAAGGAGACUGCCAGUGAUAAACUGGAGGAAGGUGGGGAUGACGUCAAGUCAUCAUGGCCCUUACGACCAGGGCUACACACGUGCUACAAUGGCAUAUACAAAGAGAAGCGACCUCGCGAGAGCAAGCGGACCUCAUAAAGUAUGUCGUAGUCCGGAUUGGAGUCUGCAACUCGACUCCAUGAAGUCGGAAUCGCUAGUAAUCGUAGAUCAGAAUGCUACGGUGAAUACGUUCCCGGGCCUUGUACACACCGCCCGUCACACCAUGGGAGUGGGUUGCAAAAGAAGUAGGUAGCUUAACCUUCGGGAGGGCGCUACCACUUGAUUCAAGG